GGGCCCGCACAAGCGGUGGAGCAUGUGGUUUAAUUCGAUGAUACGCGAGGAACCUUACCAGGGUUUAAAUGCAGAACGACAGGGGUGGAAACACCCCCUUCUUCGGACGGACUGCAAGGUGCUGCAUGGUUGUCGUCAGCUCGUGCUGUGAAGUGUCGGGUUAAGUCCCAUAACGAGCGCAACCCCCAUUUCUAGUUGCCAGCGGUUCGGCCGGGGACUCUAGAGAAACUGCCAGCGUAAGCUGUGAGGAAGGUGGGGAUGACGUCAAAUCAUCACGGCCCUUACAUCCUGGGCCACACACGUGCUACAAUGGUGGGGACAACAGGUUGCCAACCCGCGAGGGUGAGCCAAUCUCUUAAAGCUUGUCUCAGUUCGGAUAGGAGUCUGCAACUCGACUCCUUGAAGUUGGAGUCGCUAGUAAUCG
rnacentral:rRNA from 1 species